UUAUCACGUAGUGUUUUCUGCAACCUCGGAUGAAGGAAUUAUUUAUUUGAGAGGAGUUUUGACUGUGAAAUUGGACCAUAUACUUGGUAUAGUUAAUUAUUAAGCAUUAUUUUUGGGAAUAGAUUAAGUUAAAUUUAGAAGAGAGCUUUUAACCAUGCCUAGGAACAAGUGGAAAAUCUGGUCAGCAAGAUCAUAGUGAGAGAUCCUUUUAACCCUCUUAAACUCAUCCAAAUAAGGGGCUUUUUGACAUUUUGCAUCCCCAAGGAACAUACCUCAGUAUCAUAGUAACCUCCACCCAUUUAUAAUUCAUUUACCACUUGCCCAGAACCUUUCUUUCUCUCUCUUCUACUCGCCCAAAACCAGCGAAGGUAGCUGAGCUACCAUUUCUCUUCUCCUCCGUUUUCCUCUUCUCUUUUCUUGCAUGCAAGUUUAUCAAACUAAUAUUUGAUGUUUAUUACAGAGUGGGUAGCAAGAUAUUCGUAGGAAAAAUCUUGGGAACUUGGAGAAUUAGAGGCAAAAUUUUAAUCAGGUAAAUCUGGAACUCAGUCACUAUUUGAGGUUAUAAAUAAAAAUGCGUUGGAGAUCUUGGACUGACUUCUUGAUGAUUUUUGUUCAUUGAUAUGAGGUGCAUCUUGGUGUAAAAUUUCGUGGGAAAAAGAGGAGUUUAGGUCCACAAAAUCUCUGUUGUAAGACCCUUGUGGAUCGUGCAGGUAGACCGAUGGUGGUUCUUUUGCUUAAUGUAUAUAUUGUGUGAUGAAUAAUGUAAUUAAGUAGUAUCUUGGGUUUCGUGGUUAGCUGGUCUUACGUAUGUAGACAAGUAAUGUAUUUUGGCUGAAGGAAUGGGUUGUAAGUCUUGUAUUAUCUAUGUUAUUGUGGUCAAGUACCUUCAAACAUAUCAUGUUUUGUAAUGACUUAAAGGAUGGUUCCUUGUGUGG